CAAAACAAUUUUUUUAAGAGCAAAGUUGGAGGAUUUAUAGAACCUGAUUCCAAAACUGUCAGUAAAACUACAAUAAUUACAAAGUAUCAGCCAGGUGCCGUGGCUCACAUCUGUAAUACCAGCUCUCUGGGAGGCUGAGGCGGGUGGAUCACUUGAAGUCGGGAGUUUAAGACCAGCCUGGCCAACUUGGUGAAACCUUGUCUCUACUAGAAAUACAAAAAAUUAGCCAGGCAUGAUGGCACACACCUGUAAUCUCAGUUACUCAGGAGGCUGAAGCAGAAUAGCUUGAACCCAAGAGAGUCCAGCUCAAAAACAACAACAAGAACAAAAGUAUCACAUUGGCAUAAGAAUAGACAUGUAAAUCAAAUAACAAAAUAGAGAAUUCAGGUAUAAAUCUUCAUAUUUAUGGCUGAUUGACUUUGAACAAAGGUGACGAGGCAAGUCAGUAUAGCAGCAUAUUCUUUUCAACAAAUGGUGCUGGCAGAAGAAAAAAAAAGUACUUGGAUCCUUACCUCACACCAUGCACAAAAAUUAGCUCAACGUGGACUAUAUCAGGGUUUCUCAACAUCAGCAGUGUUGGCGUUUGCUGGGGUGGAUAAUUCUUUCCUGUGGAGAGCUGUCCUGUGCACUGUAGAAUGUUUAGCUGCAUCCUGGCCUCUGCCUAUUAGAUGCCAGUGGCAUCCCUCCCCUGACACACACCUAGUUUUGACAAUCUCUGUCUCCAGAUAUUCCCAAAUGUGCCCUGGAGAGCAAAACUGUUUCCAGUUGAGAACCAUUGACCUAAUGUAAAAAAUAAAAUGUACAGAAGAAAGCAUAGCAGGAAAUCAUUCUGACCUCAGGUUAGGCAAAGCUUUCUUAGAUAUGACACUAAAGGCAUAAUUCAUUAAAAAAAUAAGUUGGGCUUUGUCAAAAUUUUAAGUUUUGCUCUUCUGAAGAAACCAUUAAAAAAAAAUGAAAAGACAAGCCACAGACUAUGAAAAAAUACUUGCAAAUCAUAUAUCUGAUAAAGGACUUGUACCCAGACCAUGUAAAGAACUCAUAACUCAUUAAUAAAAGGAUAAAGAAAAAGCUGAAGACAAUUCAUGCAAGAAGAUAUACAAAUAUUAAGCACAUUAAAAUGCUCAAUAUUAUUAGUCACUAGGGAAAUACAAAUUAAAGGCCCAAUGAAAUACCUAUUACACACCCAUUAGAAUGACUGUAAACAACAAGACUGAUAAUUCCAACAUCUGACCAAGAUAUGGAGAAACUAGAACUCUCCUACAUUGCUGGCAUGAGUGCAAAAUGAUACAGCCACUUUGAAACACCAUUUGGCAGUUGCUUAAAAAAUUGAACAUUCAACUACCAUAUGACCCAGCAAUUUCACUCUCAGGUAUAUAACCAAAAUACAUGAAAACAUGGAUCUGCACAAGGUCUUGUAUACAAAUGUUCAUAGCAACAUUAUUCAUAAUAACCAAAAAUUAGCCCAUCAACUGAAAAGUAGAUAAACAAAAUGUAUAUCCACACCAUGGAACGCUACUCAGCAAACUUCUAAAAAGCAACAAACUACUAAACACGUGCAACAACAUGAAUGAGCCUCAGAAACAUAAGUGAAAGAGGUCAGACACAAAAGACUACAAAUUGUAAGAUUCCAUUUAGAUACCAUUUCUACAAACCGCAAAACUGUAGAGGCACGAAACAGAUUCAUGGUCUGCUGCAGCUGGGGAUGGGAGUGGGAACAGAGAGCAAACAUUUUGGGAUGAUGGAAACAUUCUAAAACUGGAUUGUGAUUUUGGUUACACAACUGUAUACAUUUACUAAAAUCAAUGAACAGAACACUUUUAAUGGGUAAGCCUUAAGGCAUGUGAAUUAUACACCAAUAAAGCUAUUUUUUUUAAAAAAAAGAGAGAGAGAGAACGAGAGCUACAUGGCAGCCCCAGGGCAAUAGCUCUCAGAUCUCCCUUAGAGAAAGAACUUUCUCUUCCACAGCAAUGAGUGCAGGUAGCUAACACUGACCAACCUGCAUCUGGUAGUUCAUUUAAGGUCGGCCUUGGCUUUCAAGUUAAGGCCAUGGUCUUUCUCUGCAGUCCCCAGCCAAUACGUGGGCACAGAAAGGCACAGGGCAUGGCUGAUUCAGCCCAACAUGAGGCUCCACACCCUAGAACUCCCUGUGGAGUUGGCCGAUACUGCCUGUGACCUGCAAUGUGGUCUAAGCUGUCAGACCUCCACAGUGGCCAGAAGGUUUUCCAUACCUGAGCCUGCUUCUACCCACUUUUAUUUUUCCCAGGAGUCACGCUUAGUCAUCUCUUGCUCUUUGAACUCCAUGUCUGUAUCAGCUACCCAGAGGACCCAUCAGACAGAAAGUAAUAUGCAGAUAACAGCCCAGGGGAAUCUGGGCAGCACUGUGAAACCAACAUUUCUUCAGUGAAACCUAGAACAAAAGUGGAAUAAAUAAAAACUAACUGUCUCAUUUC
rnacentral:lncRNA from 1 species